GAGUUUGAUCCUGGCUCAGAACGUACGCUGGCGGCACGCCUAAUACAUGCAAGUCGAACGAAGUAGCAAUACUUAGUGGCAGACGGGUGAGUAACAUGUGGGUAUCUUCCCUUUGGUGAGGAAUAACACGAGGAAACUUGUGCUAAUACCUCAUAAGUCUUUACGGAGAAAGCUUUAUGCGCCAUUGGAUGAGCCCGCACUUGAUUAGUUUGUUGGUGGGGUAAUGGCCUACCAAGACUGUGAUCAAUAGCUGAUUUGAGAGGAUGAUCAGCCACAUUGGGACUGAGACACGGCCCAAACUCCUACGGGAGGCAGCAGUAGGGAAUCUUGCACAAUGGAGGAAACUCUGAUGCAGCGAUGCCGCGUGAGUGAAGAAGGCCUUUGGGUUGUAAAGCUCUUUCGUCGGGGAAGAAAAUGACUGUACCCGAAUAAGAAGGUCCGGCUAACUUCGUGCCAGCAGCCGCGGUAAUACGAAGGGACCUAGCGUAGUUCGGAAUUACUGGGCUUAAAGAGUUCGUAGGUGGUUAAAAUAGUUGGUGGUGAAAUCCCAGAGCUUAACUCUGGAACUGCCAUCAAAACUUUUUAGCUAGAGUAUGAUAGAGGAAAGCAGAAUUUCUAGUGUAGAGGUGAAAUUCGUAGAUAUUAGAAAGAAUACCGAUUGCGAAGGCAGCUUUCUGGAUCAUUACUGACACUGAGGAACGAAAGCAUGGGUAGCGAAGAGGAUUAGAUACCCUCGUAGUCCAUGCCGUAAACGAUGUGUGUUAGACGUUGGAAAUUUAUUUUUCAGUGUCGCAGCGAAAGCGAUAAACACACCGCCUGGGGAGUACGACCGCAAGGUUAAAACUCAAAUGAAUUGACGGGGACCCGCACAAGUAGUGGAGCAUGUGGUUUAAUUCGAAGAUACGCGCAGAACCUUACCAACACUUGACAUGUUCGUCGCGACUCUAAGAGAUUAGAGUUUUCGGUUCGGCCGGACGAAACACAGGUGCUGCAUGGCUGUCGUCAGCUCGUGUCGUGAGAUGUUGGGUUAAGUCCCGCAACGAGCGCAACCCUCACUUUUAGUUGCCAUCAUUAAGUUGGGCACUCUGAAAGAACUGCCAGUGAUAAGCUGGAGGAAGGUGGGGAUGACGUCAAGUCCUCAUGGCCCUUACGUGUUGGGCUACACACGUGCUACAAUGGCAUUUACAAUAGGAAGCAAAAUGGCGACAUCAAGCAAAUCCUAAAAAAAUGCCUCAGUUCGGAUUGUACUCUGCAACUCGAGUACAUGAAGCUGGAAUUACUAGUAAUCGCGGAUCAGCGCGCCGCGGUGAAUACGUUCCCGGGUCUUGUACACACCGCCCGUCACACCAUGGGAGUUGGUUCUACCUUAAGGCAAAGUUUAAAACCUUUGACCACGGUAUAGUCAGCGACUGGGGUGAAGUCGUAACAAGGUAGC
rnacentral:rRNA from 1 species